GUUAAUUCAAGUCACUGUUUUCUCACCUUAUCUCAUUAACCUGUUGAAUCAGAUGUCCACUGUAGGAAAAGGAAAUAUUAAAUGAUGUUAAGUGUAGCAGACAAAUACAGAUCACACCGAGAAGCUAACACUCAUGAGUUGUCAUAAUAAGGGAUAAUAAUAACAAUUAGAAAAAAAAAAAAUCAGUCUUUUCUGUGCAUAUUUUUUUUCAUUUGAAAGGUCCCAGGAAAUCAUGAUGUGCCUGGCCGUUUCUGUUGCUGAUUUCUGAUGACCUCUAAUUGUUUUUUGCAUUGCUGAUAAUAAGUUGAGAGACUUUUAUUUUCAUCUAACAGCUUUUUAUGUUCUUGUACCAGACGGGAUGUAUUUUGCUGGUCUUUUUCAUCCUGGUCCAGUUCUGCUAUUAAUUCUUGCUUCCUCUGCAACAGCAAUGCAAUUUCUGUCUGAACUUUCAUAUAUUCUUGUGCCAUUUUGCAGUGCUGUUCAAACACAGCCAUAGAUUCUUUGGAGUUCGGGCAUGGUGCUAGAGGCUGUAACUGAUGAUCUAAUGUAAGAUAUGCCAUUGGGAUGGAGUUAUCUGACCCAUUGGUCUCUGCAUCAUCAGGUGUCCAUGGAUUACGAGUUGGCUUUUCAGAGGUUGGUCCCGAGGUAGUGAUCAUUCUCACACUAGG
rnacentral:lncRNA from 1 species